CUCUGGGAAGAGGGCCCUUGACUCACCCUUUUCUUUGCAGUCGCCUCCCAUGCAAUGUCCUCGCUGCUGGGACAUCUGUCUCAGCAGAAACAGGACCGCGAGGGAAGGGAGAACCUGCCCGUCCCUCCUCUGAAGGCUUCCUCUACCACGACAUGGCAGCUUAUUCCUGGAUUUGUGCUCAAGAGGAACAAGCACUUAUCGUCCCCAGAAGAUAUACAGGAAAAGGUUCGUCGAGUCUUAAGACCCAAACCAGAGACGGCUCCUACGUCCAUCCGCAGGAGAUUGAGUAAAUAAACUGUGAUAACUUCAUGCCAUAUGAUACCGCACAGCAAAGCGAAAGGGCAAAAUGCUGUUACACACAGCUUCACGGUGGGUCUCCUUCAGGUCAGACUGAGCAAAGGGAGCCAAAAGCUGUGUGAGGCCACCGACUGGAGGCUGGCAAGGGACCCUUGGUGAGAAGGGCCAGAACCUGCUUGCCUGUGGGAGGCCCUGGUGGAGGGAGCAAUGACCUGGGGAGGGGGAAACUGAGGCACGGGGCAGUUAAGUCACCUGCCUACAGUCACACCGUUAGUGAAUGGAGCCUGGCUCUGGAUCCCCUCCUCGUACCCACACGGCCAGGGAGCCAGAUUAUACAGCGCUGCCCACUGGCCUUCCCAAAACAGGUCCACAGAAGCCUGGAGAAGGUUCUGGAAGCAACCAGGGCUCCCCCAAGGCUGUUGUUGACCAAGAGCAACGCUGUCGGGUAGCCAGUGGGACACUUCGGCGCCCUGAUGUCCGUGAAACCUACGCCCUUUUCGAGGAAGGCAAACCCGCCCAGAAUAAUUGUCGAGCCAGCAGGCAGCUUAAGUCGCUUGUAAGCCCGGAGGUGCCCAGGAGGGAUGAGGCCCAGCAACGUGCCCUUUUGGCCAGCGUUGGUGUUUUUUUGGCUGUUGCUGUCAUCAUUAUUGUUUUUGGGGAGGAGAGAUGGGACACCUCUAGAGUCUGCUGUUUUGUUUAAAGGAUUAAUUUUCACCUGUAGCAUCAUGUGGGAUUUGCAGCCGCUCCCUUUCCUCUGUGCCAUCAUGUUUUACUGCUCUCUUUCAUUUCUCCAUGAAGAAGCCUGGUGAGAAUGUUCUAGAAACUGCAGCCUGCGGGUGAGGAUGGGGACACAGUGGAGAGAGCAGUUUAUUCUCCCCAACUGAAUUUAGAUGCCAGAGAGGACCACUGGGUGUGGGACCAUUGGAGAUACUUAUUUUUUCCCCCCUGCCUCUUUAUAUAUUUAUGGGCUGUCCAUAUUUGCAUAAGCAAAAAGGUCAAAAAAAUUAUGGUGAUAAUAGCUACUAUUUAUUGAGCAUUUACUACGUGCUGAUUUCACAGGUAUUAACUCAUUUAACCCUUAUAACCACCCUAUGAAGUGGAUAUUCUUCUUAGCCUUAUUUCCAGGUUGGGAACUGAAGUGUAGAAAAGUAAAUCAGCUAAUGAAGAAUUCUCACUAUCAAAAUUUACAAAGAGAUUGUCAAUCAAAAGGAAUGACCUACUGAUGCUAUGACAUGGGUGAACCUCAAAAACAUUGUGCUCAGUGAAAGAAUCAAGGCACAAGAGAGCCCAUCUUGUAUGAUUCCAUUUAUAUGAAAUGUCCAGAAAAGGCAAAUCCAUAGAGAGAGUAGAUGAGUGGUUGCCCGAGGCAGGGGUGGAAACAUGGAGUAACGAUCAGUGGGCAUGAGAGAUCUUAUUGGGAGAGAGAGAAUAUUCUAGAAUGGAUUUAUAGUGCUAGUUGCAUAACUUGGUAAAUUUACUAAUCACCAUUGAAAUGGGUGAAUUGUAUGAUAUGUAAAAUAUUCCCCAAAAAGUAGUGAGACAAAGAAGUGUAAUUAAAAUAUGAAAGUCUAACAUUUAUUAAGCACCUAGUAUGCACUUUACAGGGAUUUUUUCCCAGCCCUAACAGCUCAUUCAUUUGUUUCCCUGAACUCAUCUUUGUUGAGAAGCUAUUAUGUGCCAGGCACCAUGCCAGGACACAGGAGUACAGCAAUGAACUAGACUUGGUUCUGGUUCAAGGUCCCUGCUUGAUGGAGAUCAUGGUGUAGUGAGCAUUGGGGGUUGAGGUUGGGGUGGGGUGGAGAUGCAGAUGAAAAUACCAGUGAUGACAAGAGAAUGUACCUGGUC